rnacentral:rRNA from 1 species
GAUGAACGCUGGCGGCGUGCCUAACACAUGCAAGUCGAGCGAUUUACUUCGGUAAAGAGCGGCGGACGGGUGAGUAACGCGUGGGUAACCUGCCCUGUACACACGGAUAACAUACCGAAAGGUAUGCUAAUACGGGAUAAUGUGCUUUUGUCGCAUGGCAAAAGGAUCAAAGCUCCGGCGGUACAGGAUGGACCCGCGUCUGAUUAGCUAGUUGGUGAGGUAAUGGCUUACCAAGGCGACGAUCAGUAGCCGACCUGAGAGGGUGAUCGGCCACAUUGGAACUGAGACACGGUCCAAACUCCUACGGGAGGCAGCAGUGGGAAAUAUUGCACAAUGGGCGAAAGCCUGAUGCAGCAACGCCGCGUGAGCGAUGAAGGCCUUCGGGUCGUAAAGCUCUGUCCUCAAGGAAGAUAAUGACGGUACUUGAGGAGGAAGCCCCGGCUAACUACGUGCCAGCCGCCCAGUAACAC